UCUUUAUUGUAUAAAAAAUUAAGAUUGCAGAUAAAGGUUUAAAAUCAUGUUUAAUUUUGAUUCAUAAACUUGUAAAUAAAUCAUUUAUAAAUGUAAAUGUAGGCUUCCGCAUUUAUAUGGACGCUUUUAUACUAUACCCACGCAAAAACGCACAAGUUGUUAUAGGUCUGUUCACAAGCUGUCGACAAGUUGUGUUCGCACUGCUUGUUCCCAGUUGUUGGAACAAGUUUAGAACAAGCUGUUAACAACUUGGAACAAGCUUGAUGGCAUUAUCACACUUGUUACAAAGUCGUUCUAACAAGUCUGAUACAGUCAUGAUAUAACAAGAAUGUUAUAAGGUUGACGACGCAAGGUUGUAACAAUAUUGUUAUAUCAAGACUGUAUCGGACUUGUUGGAACAAACUUACAACAAGUCUGAUAAUAUUGACAAGUUGUUGACAGUUUGUUCCAAUGACAACCACAAUUUCUUUAUCGAACUAAACUAUUAACCGUCCAGUUUUUACACUUAAAAUAAAACAAAGUUUAAAUUAAUGUUGUAACUAUUCUAUAACAUGUG